rnacentral:rRNA from 1 species
GGGUGGUAAUGCCGGAUGCUCCAUCACACCGCAUGGUGUGUUGGGAAAGCCUUUGCGGCAUGGGAUGGGGUCGCGUCCUAUCAGCUUGAUGGCGGGGUAACGGCCCACCAUGGCUUCGACGGGUAGCCGGCCUGAGAGGGCGACCGGCCACAUUGGGACUGAGAUACGGCCCAGACUCCUACGGGAGGCAGCAGUGGGGAAUAUUGCACAAUGGGCGCAAGCCUGAUGCAGCGACGCCGCGUGAGGGAUGGAGGCCUUCGGGUUGUAAACCUCUUUUGUUAGGGAGCAAGGCAUUUUGUGUUGAGUGUACCUUUCGAAUAAGCACCGGCUAACUACGUGCCAGCAGCCGCGGUAAUACGUAGGGUGCAAGCGUUAUCCGGAAUUAUUGGGCGUAAAGGGCUCGUAGGCGGUUCGUCGCGUCCGGUGUGAAAGUCCAUCGCUUAACGGUGGAUCCGCGCCGGGUACGGGCGGGCUUGAGUGCGGUAGGGGAGACUGGAAUUCCCGGUGUAACGGUGGAAUGUGUAGAUAUCGGGAAGAAC